GACGAACGCUGGCGGCGUGCUUAACACAUGCAAGUCGAACGGAAAGGCCUAGCUUGCUGGGUACUCGAGUGGCGAACGGGUGAGUAACACGUGGGUGAUCUGCCCCUGACUUUGGGAUAAGCCUGGGAAACUGGGUCUAAUACCGGAUAUUCAUUUUUCCUCGCCUGGGGAUUUGUGGAAAGCUUUUGCGGUUGGGGAUGGGCCCGCGGCUUAUCAGCUUGUUGGUGGGGUAAUGGCCUACCAAGGCGACGACGGGUAGCCGACCUGAGAGGGUGAUCGGCCACACUGGGACUGAGACACGGCCCAGACUCCUACGGGAGGCAGCAGUGGGGAAUAUUGCACAAUGGGCGCAAGCCUGAUGCAGCGACGCCGCGUGAGGGAUGACGGCCUUCGGGUUGUAAACCUCUUUCAGCUCCGACGAAGCGCAAGUGACGGUAGGAGCAGAAGAAGCACCGGCCAACUACGUG
rnacentral:rRNA from 1 species